rnacentral:rRNA from 1 species
UACGGAGGGAGCUAGCGUUGUUCGGAAUUACUGGGCGUAAAGCGCACGUAGGCGGCUUUGUAAGUUAGAGGUGAAAGCCUGGGGCUCAACCCCAGAAUUGCCUUUGAUACUGCAUGGCUUGAAUCCAGGAGAGGUGAGUGGAAUUUCCAGUGUAGAGGUGAAAUUCGUAGAUAUUGGGAAGAACACCGGUGGCGAAGGCGGCGACCUGGUCCGAUACUGACGCUGAGGCGCGAAAGCGUGGGGAGCAAACAGG